CUAGUAAUCACAGGUCAGCAUACUGUGGUGAAUACGUUCCCGGGCCUUGUACACACCGCCCGUCACACCAUGAGAGUUGAGAAUACCCGAAGCCCAUGUCAAAGUGGUCGAAGGUAGGCUUGAUGAUUGGGGUGAAGUCGUAACAAGGUAUC
rnacentral:rRNA from 1 species